rnacentral:lncRNA from 1 species
GCUCCCUGGCAGGCUUAAGCUCCCUGGGGUGCGCAGUCCCACCUUUUCCAAGAGCAACCUUUGUGGGAGGGGGGCGGGCAGGAAGGGGAGGCUGGGAUCUGCUUCCUCCCCAUGGGCUGCCCCGAGAGUCCCUACCUCUGUGUCCUGAAAUGACUUAGGAAAUGCGGAGAGGCUUUUCUCCAAGGGUCACCACAGCCGCUGCCCCAGGGAGGGUGGCAGAACAGGCCCCCGGACCUAUCAGGGCCAGAUCUCAGGUCCCAGGGAACCUUCCAGGGUCGGGGGAGCCACACAGCCCACAUCCUGCGUCCUUGGGAACCCCGCACACCAUUUUCCAGAUCCCAGCAGGGCCACCCCGUCCUGACCCAGUCUUGGCCGUACCACCCAGCACCAGUUGCCGCCCCAUGGACAGGACUGGGGCCAGGACUGGCCGGGUCAGGGGAAGAAAGCCGAGUCACGGGGAAGGACAUUCCGGCCGAGCCACAGCCCCGCCUCCCUGGGGUCCUGGGCUGCCCAGCUCCUGACCCUGCCUGCCUUACAGCUCCCUGCCCAGAGGAUCUGGUGACACAACUGUCACAGCCUGUCAUUCCACACCUGUGGCCACACCGUCCCCAGACUCCAGACCCACGCGGGGCGUGUGGCGGGACGUGCCCAGGCUGGAUGGGGGAUGCAGCCAGGACGGUGCCAGGGGAGGCUGGUGCCCUCCACCACACAGAGCCUAGACCCAGGACCAGGACCAUGGCCCAAAUCUGCGCCCUCCCUUCACUCGCCCCAGAGAACCUGUCCAGGCUCACAGAAAAAUACAUAUUAUUAUUAUUUUUUUUUGACAGAGUCUCACUCUGUCACCGGGCUGGAGUGUAGUGGUGCAUUCUUGGGUCACCACAACCUCUGCCUCCCAAGUUCAAGCGAUUUUCCUGCCUCAGCCUCCUGAGUAGCUGGGGUUACCGGCACCUGCCACUACGCCCAGCUAAUGUUUUGUAUUUUUAGUAGAGACAGGGUUUCACCAUUUUGGCCAGGCUAGUCUUGAACUCCUGACCUUGUGAUUCACCUGCCUGGCCUCCCAAAGUCAGAAAAAUACAUAUUAACCUGGCUGCUGGUCCUUCCCAGGGAGUGGCAGCCCAGGUAGGGGGCAGAGGUGAAAAGGGCAGGAGAAGCCGCACCGUGGCCCAGUGGGGCCUGACCCACCACACUGCUGCCUGUGGUGGGUGUUGGUCAUGGGGUUUGGGUGUGAUGCAUGGUGUAGGGUUAUGAGAGGGCCGGUUAUGUGGGGUUGGGGGUGUACACGGGCGUGAGGGUGUGUCUGUGCACAGGUGUUGGGGUGCGUCUGUGCAUGGAUGUUGGGAUGUGUCUGCACGGGUGUAGGGUUGUGUCUGCACAGGUGUCUGUGCACGGGUGUAGGGGUGUGUCUGCACAGGUGACUGCACGGGUGUAGGGGUGUGUCUGCACAGGUGACUGCACAGGUGUAGGGGUGUGUCUGCACGGGUGUAGGGGUGUGUCUGCACAGGUGACUGCAAGGUGUAGGGGUGUGUCUGCAUGGGUGUAGGGGUGUGUCUGCACAGGUGACUGCACGGGUGUAGGGGUGUGUCUGCACAGGUGACUGCACAGGUGUAGGGGUGUGUCUGCACGGGUGUAGGGGUGUGUCUGCACAGGUGACUGCAAGGUGUAGGGGUGUGUCUGCACGGGUGUAGGGGUGUGUCUGCACAGGUGACUGCACGGGUGUAGGGGUGUGUCUGCACAGGUGACUGCACAGGUGUAGGGGUGUGUCUGCACAGGUGUCUGUGCACGGGUGUAGGGGUGUGUCUGCACGGGUGUAGGGGUGUGUCUGCACAGGUGUCUGUGCACGGGUGUAGGGGUGUGUCUGCACGGGUGUAGGGGUGUGUCUGCACAGGUGUCUGUGCACGGGUGUGGGGGUGUGUCUGCACGGGUGUAGGGUUGUGUCUGCACAGGUGUCUCUGUGCACGGGUGUAGGGGUGCGUCUGCACAGGUGUAGGGGUGUCUGUGCACAGGUGUUGGGGUGUAGGUGUGCAUGGUCUGAUGAGAGCAGCUGUCGUGUGCUGGCCAGGUCUUCUUGAUGUCCUCAGUGACCUCUCGCUCUGUCACUGGGAGACAGAACUGAGACAGGGUCAAUGCUGCUGGAACAUUCAGAACUAAUGCUCAUUGGAUCCUGAGCGGUCAUUCCAAGAAUGUGGUCAAGUGGGGAAAGAAAGAAGUGUGGGGACCUCUCUGGACCUCAGUCUCUUGCUCUGUAAAGUGGGUGCAGCAAACCGAAUUUCUACCAAAAAAUACAAACAAUUAGCCACACGUGGUGGCAUGCACCCAUAAUCCCAACUACUCGGGAGGCUGAGGCAGGAGGGCAGGAGAAUCACUUGAACCCAGGAGGUGGAGGCUGCAGUGAGCCUAGAUCAUACCACUGCACUCCAGCCUGGGUGACAGACCAAGACUCUGUCUCAAAAAGAAAAAAUAAAUAAGUAAAUAAAUAAAUAGUCCAGGCGCAGUGGCUCACGCCUAUAAUCCCAGCACUUUGAGAGGCCAGUGUGGGCAGAUCACCUGAGGUC